UGGGGAGUUUUCCGCAAUGGGCGCAAGCCUGACGGAGCACUACCGCGUGAGGGAGGAAGGCUUUUUGGUUGUAAACCUCUUUUCUCAAGGAAGAAGCACUGACGGUACUUGAGGAAUCAGCAUCGGCUAACUCCGUGCCAGCAGCCGCGGUAAUACGGAGGAUGCAAGCGUUAUUCGGAAUUAUUGGGCGUAAAGCGUCCGCAGGUGGUGCCUCAAGUCUGCUGUCAAAGACCGAAGCUCAAGUUCGGGCAGGCAGUGGAAACUGAUGCACUAGUGUACGGUAGGGGUAGAGGGAAUUUCCAGGGUAGCGGUGAAAUGCGUAGAGAUUGGAAAGAACACCAGUGGCGAAGGCGCUCUACUGGACCGUAACUGACACUCAGGGACGAAAGCUAGGGGAGCGAAAGGGAUUAGAUACCCCCGUAGUCC
rnacentral:rRNA from 1 species